CCAAUAACAAAGUGGUGUUUCCCCAGGGUGAGGCUCACCCCUUGCACUUCAGGUGUGCUGACCCCUGGGAUUUCCCCACACAGGAAACUCGACUGCACAAUUUGUGGCAGUGCGGGACUGCAUUCGUGCUCUCCCUGG
rnacentral:snRNA from 1 species